UACGGAGGGGACUAGCGUUGUUCGGAAUUACUGGGCGUAAAGGGCGCGUAGGCGGCCUGCUAAGUCGAACGUGAAAUCCCUGGGCUCAACCCAGGAACUGCGUCCGAUACUGGUUGGCUUGAAUCCGGGAGAGGGAUGCGGAAUUCCAGGUGUAGCGGUGAAAUGCGCAGAUAUCAGGAGGAACACCGAUGGCGAAGGCAGGUCUCUGGGCCGAUACUGACGCUGAGGAGCGAAAGCGUGGGGAGCGAACAGG
rnacentral:rRNA from 1 species